UACGUAGGGAGCAAGCGUUGUCCGGAAUCAUUGGGCGUAAAGCGCGCGUAGGUGGCCUCAUAAGUCCGUUGUGAAAGUCAAAGGCUCAACCUUUGAAAGCCGAUGGAUACUGUGAGACUAGAGUACGGAAGAGGCGAGUAGAAUUCCUGGUGUAGCGGUGGAAUGCGCAGAUAUCAGGAGGAACACCAAUAGCGAAGGCAGCUCGCUGGGACGUUACUGACACUGAGGCGCGAAAGCGUGGGGGAGCGAACAGG
rnacentral:rRNA from 1 species